AGAAUGAACGCUGGCGGCGUGCUUUACACAUGCAAGUCGAGCGAAGCGGGGAGCAAUCCCCAGUCGAGCGGCGAACGGGUGAGUAACGCGUGGAUGACCUGCCUUGAGGUGGGGGAUAACUCGGGGAAACUCGAGCUAAUACCGCAUAUGAUCGUGAGAUCAAAGGGGCGCAAGUCCCGCCACAAGAGGGUCCGCGUACGAUUAGCUAGUUGGUAGGGUAAUGGCCUACCAAGGCGACGAUCGUUAGCCGGCCUGAGAGGGUGAUCGGCCACACUGGAACUGAGACACGGUCCAGACUCCUACGGAGCAGCAGUGGGAAUUUGCGCGAAUGGGACGAAAGCCUGACGGCAGCAACGCCGCGUGGAGAUGAAGGUCCUGGAUCGUAAACUCCUGUCAGCGAGGAAAAGGCAACCUGGCCAACGACCAGGUCGAUUGAUUGUACC
rnacentral:rRNA from 1 species